rnacentral:rRNA from 1 species
CUACGGGGAGGCAGCAGUAGGGAAUCUUCCACAAUGGACGCAAGUCUGAUGGAGCAACGCCGCGUGAGUGAAGAAGGUUUUCGGAUCGUAAAGCUCUGUUGUUGGUGAAGAAGGAUAGAGGCAGUAACUGGUCUUUAUUUGACGGUAAUCAACCAGAAAGUCACGGCUAACUACGUGCCAGCAGCCGCGGUAAUACGUAGGUGGCAAGCGUUGUCCGGAUUUAUUGGGCGUAAAGCGAGCGCAGGCGGAAUGAUAAGUCUGAUGUGAAAGCCCACGGCUCAACCGUGGAACUGCAUCGGAAACUGUCAUUCUUGAGUGCAGAAGAGGAGAGUGGAAUUCCAUGUGUAGCGGUGGAAUGCGUAGAUAUAUGGAAGAACACCAGUGGCGAAGGCGGCUCUCUGGUCUGCAACUGACGCUGAGGCUCGAAAGCAUGGGUAGCGAACAGGAUUAGAUACCCUGGUAG